GUUUACAGCCAUGCUACCCUGAACAAGCCUGAUCCUGUCUGGUCUUGGAAGCUAAGCAGGGUCGGGCCUGGUUAGUAAUUGGAUGGGAGACCAGGUGCUGUAGGCA
rnacentral:rRNA from 1 species